GGAGAGUAAAUCGAUCAGGCGAUCGGCGCUGUUUGCUAAACAGAUGGGAUUGCAUCUGUGGUUCGAGUCCACUGCUCUCCGCC
rnacentral:tRNA from 1 species